rnacentral:rRNA from 1 species
AACGCACCUUGCGCCCUUUGGCCAUUCCGAAGGGCAUGCCUGUUUGAGUAUCAUGAACACCUCAACUCCUUAUGGCUUGCAUGAUGAGCUUGGACUUUGGAGGUCUUGCCGGCCUGCAGCUGGCUCCUCUCAAAUGAAUUAGCUUCCCAGUGUUUGGUGGGCAUCACAGGUGUGAUAAUUAUCUGCGCUUGUGGUUCCUGCCAGGAUGACCGUUCGGUUAGAACGGGGGUCAGCUGGAGCUCACAAAUGUCCCUCUCCGGUGAGGACAGCACUUUGAAUGUUUGAUCUCAAAUCAGGUAGGACUACCCGCUGAACUUA